UGUUAGGGCAGGUACUCUGCUGUCAGAUUCGGACCCUGUGGAUUGGAAUGUAGCUCCGCCGCGUCUGGCUGUGUGACCUGGGGCGUGCUCCUUAAACACUGAACUGCACGUCCCGGGUAAAAUGGGGUUGAUUUGACUCAUCAGUGAAUCUAGAGAAGAAGCUCUUCCACAGGAGAAUAUCCAGCAGCAUCUGGAAAGGAAAGACAGAGUAUUCUUUACCUAACAGAUUUCAUUGGAACUAAGUGAAACAAAGAGGAAGCCAAGCCUGGGCCAUGUCUACAAAACCCUGAUGACAGAGUGAACAGCAGAUAGAGGGGAACUGAGGCAAGAUGCUGGCAUGUUCAGGGAAAAGCAUAACAGCAAAACCAACAAGGCGGAGAAGACAGGGAUGAGGUCAGAGAGGAGCACUGGGAGUGGCAGGAGGGAUCUGUUAGCCCUGGGGAAGAAUCUGGGCUUUGCUGUGUCACCUGAAACCAUCUUAGGUGUUUGAACUGUGGGGUGGCUUGCACUGUCUUGAAGGCAAGACCCUCUUCUGGUUUCUGAGAAUAAAAUGUGGAUGGGCGAGGACUAAGGCAGCAGAGGCCAUCUGAGAUAGAAAAGGACAAUAAAAACUACAGCAAAAGAUGAUGCUAUUUGGGUGAGAGCAGUGGUGGAGAGGCAGUGAGGCCUCACAGAUACCAGAUAAAAGUAUAAUUUAGGGCCCCGGCACUGGUGGAUAUAUGACAUAUGGGUUUAAGUGAAAGAGAGACAGCAAGGAUGACAGCAAGAACACUUUCCUAAGCUACUGGUAUGAUGUGGUUGCCAUUAACUGAAAACCAGAAAGAUUGGAGAGGGAGAAGAUUGCAAAGCAGAAGAAUGGGAGAAUAGUGAUUCCAAAUGACUCCCAGGUACAAAGGCUAAGUGACCCCACAGGCAACUGGACAUCCCAGACUGUAGAUCAGGAGUGUGGGACCAGGCUGGAUAUAUACAAUGAUGAGCCAUCAGCACAGUGAUGCUAUUUAAAGUCAUCAGACUAUAUAAACUUCCCUCUGAAAUAAGUUUAGAAAAUAAAAACAAAGAAGAAUGAAAACAAACUAUCAAAGGAGUCUGCAAAGGAAUGGUUCCUGAUGUAGGAGGAUAAAUGAGACAAUGUGGUGUUCUAGAAGCCAAAUGAAGACAGCUUUAAAACUAGACAAGAGUGGGGAUGAACAAGGCCAAUGAUUACUCCAAUAUUAAAUUAAGGUGAAGGCUAAGAAUUAAACUUUGGAUCUAGGAAGAGGCCAAUGGUGACUGACCAUGGCAAAGUUGGGAGAAGGGGAAGAUGGCUUGUAUGAGUUCUACAUAGAAUUGGAGGAGAAGAAUUGAAAACUAUAAAUAUUGAUAUAAAUUGGAAAAGAGAAAUAGAGUGGCUUGAGGAGAAUAUAUGGUAAAAAAAAAAAGGUAUUAUUUAUUUUCGAGAAGCAAAAAUUACAAAAUAAUAGUGAGGAGAAAUUCUCAGUGCAUGAGGGGGCAUUGGUCAAUGUCUAGAGGUAUAUCCGUGUGUAGAAGAUGGUAGAUAGAUUCUAGUGCAAGGGGGAGGGUUUGGUGUGAAAGGGGCAUGGGCAGUGAGCAUGCCUAUGGCAUCAGGAGAGAAGGCCAGGGCAUAGACACACACAGCAUGCAGGUGGACAGGUGUGGAGAAAAUAUGGAAGAUCCCUUCUGAUU